rnacentral:lncRNA from 1 species
GUCUGGUGUGGACUUCUAAGCUGUUAAGAUUUUUCAUCUUUGGGCAGCUGGUUGUUAAGAUUCAUAAUCUUUCGGCAAUCAGUUCACUAGCCAUUCAGUGGUAAAUACUUAAAGAUCAAUUUUCAUAAUUAUGCUACCGAUGUUGUACAGUAUACAGUACAUGCAACAUCAUUGCUCCAAAUCUAAUUAUUUGCAAAUGAAUCAGUAUAUCAGGCUAUAUCGGCAUGAAAGAAAGGUGCAACUUUAAAAACUUUAAUUGCCAAUAUUUAUUGGUGGUGUUUACAAAAUGGUACUAAAGCUAAUAAUCAAGACUCAGUUGUUAGCCAAUAGCCAUUACAUUAUUUAAUUAUUUUUUUAUUUUAUUAUUUAAAACUUUCACCCAAUUACAAUAACAAUAAGAAGUAGAAUUAGAGAAUGGAUUACAUUAUUUUUAAUUGACUCAAAGUCAAAGUAAGUUUCUUAAUCGAAACCAAUAUUUAUGUGUAUAUUGCAACAAUGCAUGAUGUUCACAAUCUGAUCAUCUGGUUGAUUUAUUUCAGCUAAUCCUAUUUAUUAAUUGGUUUACCCAACUCAACCUAUAUUCAGGCUUUGACUUAACCAUGGGGUAAACAUGAUGCAAAAACAGGAUUUGUUUUGUUCUUGUUAUAUGGAAUCAUAUUGUGUAGCACUAUUUCCUGUAUAAAUAACUAAAUAAGUUUUACAAAUUGCUAUUUAUAUUAAUAAAAUACAAAAAAGUUGUGUUGAGUCCAACCAUAAAAGCGUUGGCCUCGCACUAUUGUGUGUUGUGUUUGAAAACUACUGUACAGUAUGAUAAAAUAUGACAGUCAGGGAAAUGCAAACUAGCUGGCACAGUACGUACAGGUUAAGGAACGCAUAUACUGUAUAACUUAACAAACACAUUCAGGCAGUAUAGGUUAGGGACACUAAAUAUUAUAUAACAUAACACAGUCGGGGGCAGACUUCUAAGCAGUUAAGAUUUUUCAUCUUUGGGCAGCUGAUUUUUAAGAUAUUUUUACAUCUUUUGCAUGGCAAUCAGUUCACUAGCCAUUAAUGAAUACUUAAAAUGUCAAUGUUCAAAUUAUGCUACUGAUGUUGUAUAGUAUACAUGAAACAUCAUUGCAGCUCUAAUUAUUUGCAAAUGAAUCAGUUUAUGUAGGUAUUAGCAUAAAAGAGAGUGAAACUUGAAUUUAUAGGUGGUGCUUACAUGCAAUACAGUAGCUAAUAAUCAAGACCCCUUAAAUGGCAAUGCACCCAGAUGCACCCUACUUUAUUAUUCUACUCUGUCUAACGCCAGACAAUUUUACUCAUGAGGGAGAAUGCUAUCAUUCAAACCAUGAUGAAUAAUAAUAUUUCAUGAAGUUGAGACAAAGGAUUUGUGCACGGUGAGCUAGGUACAGUUCAUCAUCAAACAAAG